CACUCAAUGUGCAUACUGGGAACCAAACGCAGGCCCUCUAGAAGAGCAAGCUCUCUUGACUUCUGGGCCAUCUCUCCAGCCCUUUAGCAGUUUGUGUGGGAAACUGAUGAAACCUCGGUGGCAAGUUAGUCAGAUUAGCUGUCAACAAGUGUGACGGUUUGCAUAUACUUUGUGCAGGGAGUGUCACUAUUAGAAGGUGUGGCCCUGUUGGAGUAGGUGUGUCACUGUGGGUGUGGCCUUUAAGACCCUCAUCCUAGCUGCCUGGAAGUGAGUAUUCUGCUAGCAGCCUUCAGAUGAAGAUGUUGAACUCUCAGCUCCUCCUUCACCAUGCCUGCCUGGAUGCUGCCAUGUUCCUGCCUUGAUGAUACUGGACUGAACCUCUGAACCUGACUGAGUCACUGGAGCAUCUAUCUGCACGCUGCGGUUUCGACUUUCCCCCAAGUGCAUAGCGGUAUGUCAUCUGAGAG
ensembl:processed_transcript 1810059H22Rik RIKEN cDNA 1810059H22 gene